rnacentral:tRNA from 1 species
GGCUUCGUAGGUCAGCUGGCAGGGCGAUUGCCGCAUUGAGGCAUGCUGUGUCUGUCGUUGGUUCAAAUCCAUCCGAAGCCC